rnacentral:rRNA from 1 species
CUAAAAUUAAUAAUAAAAAAUUUAUCAAUUUAUUUUGUAUCUUAGUUUAUUGAGGAUAAGCUCAGUAAAAAUAAUAAAAUAGUAUAUAUCUCAUUUAAUUAACCACAUGGGCUUGAAAUUAGCCAUUAUAUUAAAGUUUGUUACAAAAUAGUCUUUAUAUGCAGAAAGAUUAAUAUACUUUUUUUUAUAGGGGUAAUACGAAAAACCAAGAUAUCUUGAUUCACUUAUGCUAGGAUGAGUAUUGAUGUAUAAGAUAUAUAAACAAAAAUAAAAAAAUACAUAAAAUAACUUUACUUAAAAUAAAAUAAGAAUAAGGAAUUCAGCAAACGCUUAGCUCCGCCUGUUUAUCAAAAACAUGGCUCUUUGUUAAUCAGAUAUAAAGAGUCGGACCUGCCCAGUGAAGUUUUAACGGCCGCGGUACUCUGACCGUGCAAAGGUAGCAUAAUCAUUUGCCUUAUAAUUGAAGGCUUGUAUGAAUGGUUUGACGGGAGCAUUACUGUCUUUUUCUUACCUUAUAGAACUUGACCUCUAGGUGAAGAGGCCUAGAUACAGUUGAAAGACAAAAAGACCCUGUCGAGCUUAAAAAUGGAUCAGAAUAAUUUUAUUAUUAAAGAUUAAUUACUGACUAAUUUUUUUGGUUGGGGCGACCAAGGAACAAAAAAGCUUCCUCUACUUUCUUAGCUGAUAAGCAUAGAUCCAGAAAAAGCUGAUUAAAAGAAAUAGUUACCGCAGGGAUAACAGCAUAAUCUCUCUUGAGAGACCUAAUCGAAAGAGGGGAUUGUGACCUCGAUGUUGGACUAGAAUAUCCCAAAGACGCAGAAGUCU